UCCGGUUUGGCACCGGCAGUCUCUCUAGAGUUCCCGGCUUUACCCGCUGGUAACUAGAGACGAGGGUUGCGCUCGUUGCGGGACUUAACCCAACAUCUCACGACACGAGCUGACGACAGCCACGCAGCACCUGUGUUACGGCUCUCUUUCGAGCACCCCCCGAUCUCUCGGGGGUUCCGUACAUGUCAAGGGUAGGUAAGGUUUUUCGCGUUGCAUCGAAUUAAUCCACAUCAUCCACCGCUUGUGCGGGUCCCCGUCAAUUCCUUUGAGUUUUAAUCUUGCGACCGUACUCCCCAGGCGGUCUACUUCACGCGUUAGCUGCGUUACCAAGUCAAUUAAGACCCGACAACUAGUAGACAUCGUUUAGGGCGUGGACUAC
rnacentral:misc_RNA from 1 species